UCCAGGAUCUUUAUUUUAUAAGUUUUGUGUGUAAGUGACAUCAUCUUCCUAAAAAAUAGUCUGUUUUUAAUAAAUAGUGAUAUUUCCGUCCAGGAUCUUUAUUUUAUAAGUUUUGUAUGUAAGUGACCCCAUUGUCUCGAAAAAUAAUCCAUUCUUUUUAAAAAUGAAAUGAAAUAAUUAUUUCUGCUUAUUAUCAUGAAUUUUAG
rnacentral:lncRNA from 1 species